AAGUCGUAACAAGGUUUCCGUAGGUGAACCUGCGGAAGGAUCAUUAACGAAAUGUUUGUCGAGAUGGGUUGUAGCUGGCCUUCCCUCCGGGAAGGCACGUGCACGCCCUGAUCACAAAUCUCUCCACCUCACACACACCUGUGCACGACCAGCAGCUUUGGGAUGCCGGCCGGGUGUGUCCUCCUCUUGGACCCUGGGGCCGCCCUCGCUGUGAAUUUUUUUACACACACGCAAAAAUGUAAUGAACGUAGAUGUCUCAGCGUGUAAAAAGCGCGAAAUAAUACAACUUUCAGCAACGGAUCUCUUGGCUCUC
rnacentral:misc_RNA from 1 species